rnacentral:tRNA from 1 species
GGAGGGCUGGCCGAGUGGUCGAUGGCGGCUGACUUGAAAUCAGUUGUGGGGUGACCCACCAGGGGUUCGAAUCCUCUGCCCUCCGCCA